AGAGUUUGACCGGGCUCAGAAUGAACGCUAGCGGCAGGCUUAACACAUGCAAGUCGAGGGGCAGCGGGUUGUAGCAAUACAAUGCCGGCGACCGGCGAAAGGGUGAGUAACGCGUGAGCAACAUGCCCGGUAGAGGAGGAUAGUCGAUGGAAACGUCGCGUAAUACUCCGUAACAACAGGGACCGCAUGAUCCUUGUUUAAUAGAUUUAUCGCUACCGGAUUGGCUCGCGUCCCAUUAGGCAGUUGGCGGGGUAACGGCCCACCAAACCGACGAUGGGUAGGGGUUCUGAGAGGAAGGUCCCCCACAUUGGAACUGAGACACGGUCCAGACUCCUACGGGAGGCAGCAGUGAGGAAUAUUGGUCAAUGGCCGAGAGGCUGAACCAGCCAUUUUUUUUUUUUCCCCGGCCCCCCCCUAUGGGUUGUAAACCGCUUUUGUUGGGGAGCAAUAAGGGUCACGUGCGGCCCGAUGAGAGUACCCAGCGAAUAAGCAUCGGCUAACUCCGUGCCAGCAGCCGCGGUAAUACGGAGGAUGCAAGCGUUAUCCGGAUUUAUUGGGUUUAAAGGGUGCGUAGGCGGAGCUUUAAGCGUGAGGUGAAAUGCCACGGCUCAACCGUGGAACUGCCUCGCGAACUGGAGUUCUUGAAUGCCCCUGCCGUGGGAGGAAUGUGUGGUGUAGCGGUGAAAUGCAUAGAGAUCACACAGAACACCGAUUGCGAAGGCAUCUCACGAAGGGGUGAUUGACGCUGAGGCACGAAAGCGUGGGGAUCAAACAGGAUUAGAUACCCUGGUAGUCCACGCAGUAAACGAUGAUAACUAACCGCUGGGCUGUUGUAGUUCAGUGGCCAAGCGAAAGCGAUAAGUUAUCCACCUGGGGAGUACGACCGCAAGGUUGAAACUCAAAGGAAUUGACGGGGGCCCGCACAAGCGGAGGAACAUGUGGUUUAAUUCGAUGAUACGCGAGGAACCUUACCCGGGCUCGAACGGCUGGUGAACAAUCCAGAGAUGGUGCGGUCCUUCGGGACACCAGUCGAGGUGCUGCAUGGUUGUCGUCAGCUCGUGCCGUGAGGUGUCGGCUCAAGUGCCAUAACGAGCGCAACCCUUGUCGUCAGUUACCAUCAAGUAGUGUUGGGGACUCUGGCGAGACUGCCACCGCAAGGUGUGAGGAAGGGGGGGAUGACGUCAAAUCAGCACGGCCCUUACGUCCGGGGCGACACACGUGUUACAAUGGGAGUUACAGAGGGGCACUACCUGGUGACAGGAUGGGAAUCUCGAAAAGCUCUCUCAGUCCGGAUCGGAGUCUGCAACUCGACUCCGUGAAGCUGGAUUCGCUAGUAAUCGCGCAUCAGCCAUGGCGCGGUGAAUACGUUCCCGGGCCUUGUACACACCGCCCGUCAAGCCAUGAAAGUCUGGGGCGCCUGAAGUCCGUGACCGAAAGGAGCGGCCUAGGGCGAAACAGGUAAGUGGCACUAAGUCGUAACAAGGUAACC
rnacentral:rRNA from 1 species